rnacentral:lncRNA from 1 species
UUAAAAUUCAAUCAAACAUUUUGAAUCUAAUUUAAAAUUUUGAAUUUAAAUUUAAAUUUAAUUUAAAAUGUAAAAUUUUAGUUAUUUAAAUUUUAUUUAAAUUUUAAAUUAAAUUUAUGGAUUCAAAUCAAAAUUGAAAUUAUAAUUUUAAAUUUGAACUUGAAUAAAUCGAAAUUUAGUUUCAUAUUUUGAAUCAUCCGUUCAAUUUCAAUUUUUAAUUUUUUUAAAAUAUAUUUAAAAUUUUGACAUCAUUUUAAAAUUUUGACGCAAAUUUUUAAUAUUUAAUUUUCAGUUUGAAUGUAAACUAAUAUACUGUAAAGAUAAAUUUGGCAUAUUAAUUUGAUUACGUUUCUAAUAUCUAUCUGAACCAAAUACCGACAAUAAGAAUGAUUCAUUCCGAUUCCGAUUUAAAUAGCGAAGCAAAUAGAAUGAGGUAAUGAAUCAUUCCGAUUCUAUUUCCAUCUUAUUCUCGUUCCGAUUUCGAUAUCGAUUUCAAGUUCGAACCAAACACACCCUAUAUUUCAUCUUAUCAAAAUUUCAAGUUGAUGGAUUUAAACGCCCUUCAAUCAUCAGAGUUCCGUCACUACUAUUCCGUCCAUUUCUUAUAAUUUAUAUUGAAUAUACCCUUAAAUUGUUAGAAAUGCAAUAAAAAAAAUUUAUUGUUUCCUUAACAAGUAAAGAAAAUUUAGUCAUCUUAGAAAGUAAAAAAAUAUGGAUAUUCAUAAGGGAAGGUUUUUUUUUUUUUAUUUUAGCCAAUAAAGAAAGUUUUAAGGGUACAAAGCAUUCUCCAAAUAAAUAAAUAAAUAAAGUUUUAAAAGGGUACAAAGCAUUCUCCAAAUACAUAAAUAAAUAAAGUUUUAAAAGGGUACAAAGCAUUCUCCAAAUACAUAAUACGAGUAGCUGAAGACAUGCACCAACUAAUUUGAUGCAUCCACUUUUACACACACAUACAUUGAGAAUAA